rnacentral:lncRNA from 1 species
UACGGAUUAAAAUACUACAAUAGGUAACAAUUUGACAAUUUAGUAGUGUCAACCCUGUGAUUAUGACCCGUGUAUAUAGCAUAUUAAUCCUGAAUACACCGUUUGGUGGUGCGCCUGUCAGAUGCGGAACGUACAGAUAAGGUAAUAGGUAACAGGUGAUUAUACUAUUGGUAUCGGUAUAGGACUCGACCCGGAACUUCCUAAUUAUUGGCAAUAUUAAUUACGUGGAAAACAAAAGGGCCUGGAGUGGUGUAAUUUU